CGUAAUACCAAAAAUUUCAAUCCCUAGCUCUUCACUGUCUUCUCUCUUCUCCACCUCAAUCUCACUUCUAAACCUAAGUCUAUCUUUUCUUGAGGAUGCGAGGAGGUCAGAUAAGCUAGCUGUGGUCUAAACCUAAGUCAAUCUCAACCUAAGGCUCUCUUCUCCGCUGGUGACCCCUCUUCUGCGCAGCCGUCAACUUCCAACGGUAGGUUAUCGUCUCUUUUGGUUUCUCAACUUCCGUUCACUGGGUUAGGCUUCUCCUCUUAUUGCUUGAUUUGGGGCUUUUUAUGGUUUGAUUUUGGUCUCAUUUUGCUGUGAUUUUGCUUGCUUUCUGUUGUCGAUUUGGUUCAUGAAUCUGAGAAUCAGCUAUUGUCGAUACUAAACCACUGAAUCAUUAAUCUGUGGAUCACUGAAGUACUCUUUUGGAACUCAUUGUUUUGAAAUAUAUUACACCCAACAGGUUAUUUGUUGUUGCCUGGACAGAAAUUGGUAGUUUGGAACUUUUGUAUUUAUUUCGUUGCCUUGAAUUAGUUUUUAAGAGGUAGAGGGAAAGUCUGUCUCCGUUGUGCGUGUUUUGGUAUUCUAGCCCUCAUUGAAUUGGGGGAAAUUGCAACCCUUUUCUGUUUUCUUGGUGGGGUGGAGGGGAUGGAAGUUGUUGGAGGAAUUUACAUAUCAUUUAGACUCCGUUUAGCUUAACAUAAAAUCAAACUUUUGGAAAAUCUAUAGUUUUCCUUAGAGGAAAAUAUUACGAUUUUUUAACAUAUGUUUAUGAAAAUAUGUAAAGUUUUAACUCUUUUAGUAGCUAACACUUGAGGGGCCUUUCCCUUAGUACACUUGGAUGUUAACAACCCGAAAUACUGCAUUUGUAUUUUUUUUCUUGGAGUUACCAGAUGUGUCAAUCCAUUUCCUUUAUGAUUUAGUUUUUAUUCCUUGCUCAUCAAAAAUUUUCCCCUUUGAAUUGCUUCAAUAUAUUGUUGUGAACGAUAUCAAAAUUAUCCUAAGAGUGUUAUGUUUUUCUUGAUUUUGGUAUGACAUUGCUUUAGAUGUUUAUAAGAUUAUUUUCGUGCAAAUUUUCCUUUGUGUAUAUCAUUUUAAAUUGUCUGUUACUAUUAUGUUUUAUGUUCCAGUUUUUUGAGUGCACUGUAUAUGGAUAAGAAUUGGAUGCAUUGUGAUAGAAGUGGAACUUUAUACACAGAAGGGUUGGUAAACUUCCUUGAUUUUGCAUUUGCUAACGCAUCACAAGAAGGGAAGAUUUUGUGUCAUUGUGUGAAUUGUCACCAUUGUGAGUGGGGAAGUCGGGAUGUGGUAUAUACUCAUAUGAUCAUUAAAGGGAUUGACCAGUCAUAUAUCAAUUGGUAUUUUCAUAGGGAGGGUGUCUCAUCUUCUAAUGAUGAGUUUCAUGAUACGAAUGAUGACUUGCCACAUAUCCGUGAUGAUAUAGAGAGGUUAUUGUAUGAUGCACAUCCCUUUAUUUUUGAACACCUCGAGGAUGAAGAAGUUGCCAACAAUGAUGAGCGUAGAGAAUGGAUUGAUACUAAUGUGGAGAAGUUAUCUCAAUUAUUGGAAGAUUGUAAACAAGAUCUCUUUCCAGGAGCUCCAGUUAGCAAACUUAAUUUCAUUGUUCAAUUAUUCCUAACAAAGUGCCUCCAUGGAAUGACCAAUUCAUGUUUCACAACAAUUUUAGAGAUUCUAAGAUUUUCAAUCCCACAAUUAAAGAUAAUUCCAAAAAUUUUUAAUGAGACUAGAAGCAUUAUGCGGGGGUUUGGUCUUGGUUACAAGAAAAUUGAUGCUUGUAAGAAUGACUGUAUGUUGUUUUGGAAAGAACAUGCAAAUGCUGAUUUUUGUAGUAAAUGUGGUGCUUCUAGAUGGGUCACAGUUGAGGACAUGGGUUCAGAGAAGGGGAAAAGUGUUUGUGAAAUUGUCUUAUCAUCUAAAGAUGUUUCAUUCCAUACCAAGAAACGGAUUUCAGAAAAAAUAUUUCAUCAUUUUCCAGUAAAAUCAAGGCUUCAACAUCUUUUAUGUGUUCAAAAGUUUCUACAUCUAUGAGUUGGCAUGAAAAUGAUCGUACAAAAGAUGAUAAAUUAAGGCAUCCAGCAGAGUCGGAAGCUUGAAGAGUUUUAGAUUCUUUUGACCCAAGUUUUGCUAGCGACCCUCGCAAUGUAAGACUUGGUUUAUCCAGUGAUGGUUUCAAUUCAUUCAGAACAAUGAGUAUUCAGUAUAGUAUGUGGCCUGUAGUUCUUAUGUCAUAUAAUUUACCUCUGUGGAUGAGUAUGAAGCCUCCCAAUUUUACAAUGGCUCUUCUUAUUCCUAGAAAAGAGUCUCCAGGUAACAACAUUGAUGUUUGUUUGUAUAGCCAGUAAUAGAGGAGUUGAAAGAACUUUGGGAUUUUGAUGUAAAGACCUAUGAUGCCUCAAAGCGUGAGUAUUUCUAGAUGCGUGCUGCUUUAUUAUGGACAAUAAAUGAUUUUCUUGCAUAUGCCAUGUUAUCGAGGUGGAGUACGAAAGGGAAUUUAGCAUGUCCUGUUUGUUGUUAUGACACCAAAUCUAUCUACCUGCACAAUAGUCGAAAGUUUUGUUAUCCAGGACACCUCCUACAUUUGAAUCAUAAAUGGUGUCAUGAUAAAAGGUCAUUCUAUGACGGAAAGGAAUUGGGUGCUACCCCAUCUCUUUUAUCUGGGUGUAAUGUUUUUGAGCAUGUGAAGGACAUAGAAAAUAAGUUUGAGAAGACUCAGUCAAAGAAAAGAGACAAAGAUAGUAGUCCAUGGAAGAAAAAAAGCAUAUUCUUUGAGUUACCAUAUUGGAAAUUCAAUAUAUUGCGCCAUAACCUAGACGUGAUGCUUAUAGAGAAAAAUGUAUGUGAUAAGGUACUUGCAACACUAUUAGAUAUGCAAGGAAAAUGAAAAGAUCACUUGAAAGGCUGCCUUGAUUUAGAAGACAUUGGGGUUAUACAUGAACUUCAUGCAAGAGUAGGUGAAUCCAAUAAAAUAUAUUUGCCUCCUGCAAUAUUCGCUAUGGGAUCAAAGGAGAAAGACAAUUUCUGUAAGGUGCUAAAAGGAGUUAGACUUCUAGAUAGGUAUGCAUCAAACAUUUCUCGAUGCGUGCAAAUCAAGGGACAUAAAGUAUCUGGACUUAAGAGUCAUGAUUGUCGUUUCAUUUUGCAUUAUUUGCUUCAACUGGCUGUACGAAGAUCCUUGCCUACUAAUAUUGUAGAGCUAUUGAUUAAACUAGGGGACUUUUUCAGAGGUCUUUGUGCGAAAAGUCAUUGACUUGGAUGAAAUUGAUAAGUUAGAGGAGAAAUUGUGGAAACGCUUUGUAGACUGGAAAUGAUUUUUCCUCCAUCUUUUUUUGAUAUUAUGAUGCACUUACCAAUUCAUCUAGCGCAUGAGGUUAGGCUUGGUGGACCAGUUCAAUUUCAUGGAUGUACCCUGUAGAAAGGUCUGUACGAAUUUCAAAAUAUUAAAUCUUGUACGUAUUAAGUUAUUUUACAAGUAUUCUAACUUUAUUUUGCAAGCAACAAGGAUCAAAAUCCAAUUACUGGUGAUGUUACUUACUAUGAAGUAGUGAAGCAAAUAAUUGAGUUAGAUUAUUAUGGACAUCAAAGCUUUGUAUUGUUUGGUUGUGAUUGAUUCCAAUGGAGGAGAGAUGAAUUUCAGUUUCAAAUGGUUAUCUUCAAGAAAUUGAUUUACAAAAAUGAUCCUUUUAUGUUAGCAUCCCAAGUGCAUCAGGUUUUUUAUGUCCAAGAUCCUAUGGAGCAUGAUUGGUAUAAUGUUAUCAAAGCAAUACCAAGAGACAAUUUUGACAUGGAUGGUGAGCCGAGUACCGAUGACAUGGAAAUAGAUAAUUGACGGAUUGGAAGGACAAUUUAUAGUCGUUUUUCCUAUAAGGCUUCAAUGAUAUUUAUGUAAGUUUAGAGUUUGUUAUGUGUUACCUUGUUUCAAUUUUCUAGUAUUUCUUAUAUUGAAGUCUUGUAAGUUGCUUUAUAUGAGAAAUGAUUUGUGCUAUUUUUUAACUAUUCUAUGCUACUUUUUAUGUACUAAUGUAUUUUUUAUUUUACUUAUGCAAUUUUUAAAUGGGAAAGGAGAAGAAAAACUCAUCUAGAGUUAGUAAGAAAGUAAGUCCUCAGGUUGGAAAACAAGGGAUGCAAGAGGAUUUCCUUCUAGUGACCACCAUGCUAGAUCUAGAGGAAACUUACAGAUUGGAGGACGAGUAACUAGUUCUAGAGGAAGCUUAGAAGGUGGACAAUCUAGUGGGUAUGGAGGAAACUUACAAGCUGAACAUUGAAGUGGUUCCGAAAGUAAAUGUAAAGAUGUACAACAAAAAACUAAGCGAGCAAGAUCACAUUCUCAGACUAAACUUAAUUGUGUCCCUAUAUGGUUGCGACAACCAAGAGAGAUAGAAACUAAAAGUGAAAGUGAAGAGAAUUCAGAUUCCAGUGAUGGUGGUAGUGCUGAUAAUUCAAGUCGCAUGGAUGGGGAUGAAGAAUCUGAUCUUGAUCUAUUGUAUGCUAUGGAGGAGGAGUUAGAGCAAGAAACUUAUGGUGAACCUAUUGACACGGAAGAUGAAUGUACUGAUGGAUUGGAAAAUGAACCAAUAAUUCCUACCAAUCUAGUUGGUCAAGGUAAUAUUUGCAAUAUGUUGUUUUAUAUGUUAUAUUUUUACAAAUAUACUAACAUAAUUUUAUCUUAGAAAAGGGUAUACAGGAGAAAAACAAGGUGUUUGAAUAUAGUAGGCAGGGGUCUCAAUGAUCGGCCUACUAUUAUAUUGAACGAUAAAAAUCAACCCAUUGGUCCAGAGAGUCAUGUUGCAUCAUUGAGCUCAUACAUAAGAACAUUGACUAUGAAUGUCCACUUGUUCCCCUUAGCCUCAAAAAUUGGAAGAAGCUGCCUAAAAAUGAGAAGGACGAAUUAUGGAAACUGAUUCAGGAAAAAUUCAUCAUUGAUGAACUUGCAAAAAGAUAGGUAUUGGCCACCAUUGCAUCUGCUUGGUGCUGCUGGAAAAGCCGAUUGAAGAGAAAACAUUUUAAGAAACACACUAAAGGUUUGCACGCCUAAAAGAUCGUCCUAAGGCGGUACCCAUUGCACAAUGGAAAAAACUUGUGAAAAGAUGGAGUUCAAAGAAGGCUAAGGAUUUUAGCACUACAAAAAAGAUUCUAGAGAUUUUUUUUAAUGUUUAAACUGAACUGGAGGUGUGAAUACCAAUUUACUUGCAAUUAAGAAGUGAGGCCAAUACAAAGAAUAUGAUGGAGGCAAAGUAUACUCAAACUAUGGGAUCAAAAAGUUUUGCUCGAGUGUGAGAAUAGGAGAAAAGGAAAAGACAAAGUGAAGAUGAACCAUCCGAAGUAGAUAUGUUUAUGUUGACUCAAAAGAGAAACGAUAGGACAUUAAAACUUGAUGAAGAUAUAAGAAUUGAGCUUGAAAAUUUAUCGUCCCAAUCAAUUGACACCCUCGAAAGUAGCACUGCGAGGGAGAAUUUCUUGAAGAAAGUGUUAAAAGAUCAUCUUGGUCGUGCGCCUGUUUAUGGAAAAGGAGUUGCACCUUCAGAUUUGAAGAAAAAUAUGACAAGAGCACAAUCCUCUUAAAGCUUGGCUGCUGGACAAAGAAGGAUAAUGGAGCUUGAGGAAAGGUAUCAGGCAAUGAUCUCUGGUUUGGGUACUUUCAUUGCAAACAUGGCAACAGCUUAUCCCAAUGUGGAACUACCUCCUGGAUUGGUUCAUUCUCCUAUGACUGGCAGAGGCUCACUUCAUGAUGCUUCAAGUGCUCCUCGUGUCAACGAAGACUGUUCCACAACUACAAAUAUCAUGGAUCAGCACAAUGAAGAGGGAAAUGAAGUUGAGCAAGGAGACCAUGAUCAAGUUGGACAAGACAAUAUCUGAAUACUUGUUAGCUAAUAAAGCUAUUCCACUCCUUUAAUUUUGUGAACUGCAUUACUUUGAAUUUAUAUUGUUAGAUUAUGCUUCUGAUAGUUCGAGUUAUAUGUAUGCAACUGAGGAUAUUUAUGCAAAUUGGAUAAGUUAUUGUUGUU